rnacentral:rRNA from 1 species
UACGUAGGUGGCGAGCGUUAUCCGGAAUUAUUGGGCGUAAAGAGCGCGCAGGUGGUUGAUUAAGUCUGAUGUGAAAGCCCACGGCUCAACCGUGGAAGGUCAUUGGAAACUGGGUCACUUGAAUAUAGAAGAGGAAAGUGGAAUUCCAUGUGUAGCGGUGAAAUGCGUAGAUAUAUGGAGGAACACCAGUGGCGAAGGCGGCUUCCUGGUCUGUAACUGACACUGAGGCGCGAAAGCGUGGGGAGCAAACAGGAUUAGAUA